rnacentral:lncRNA from 1 species
CAUAUCCUUAAUUAAACAGAAAGCAUCAUCUAACCUCCCUGCUCGCCCAAGUAAGUCAACCAUGCAAGCAUAAUGUUCAGAUGAAGGAUUGAUAGAAUACUUUUUGGUCAUGUGCUCAAAUAAAUUUGCACCAGCAUCACUUAAGCCAGCAUGCUUACAUGCAGAUAAAACACUAACAAACGUCACUUCAUCAGGAACCACUUCCGCUCAAACAAAUUUGCACCAGUAUCACUUAAGCAAGCAUGCUUACAUGCAGAUAAAACACUAACAAAUGUCACUUCAUCAGGAACCACUUCCGUUUCUUCCAUCCCUUUGAAAAGUUUGACAGCCU